AGUGAACGCUGGCGGUAGGCCUAACACAUGCAAGUCGAACGGCAGCACAGUAAGAGCUUGCUCUUACGGGUGGCGAGUGGCGGACGGGUGAGGAAUACAUCGGAAUCUACUUUUUCGUGGGGAUAACGUAGGGAAACUUACGCCUAUACCCCAAAAGACCUAACGGUGAAAGCCAGGGAUUUUCGGACCUUUCGCGAUUGAAUGAGCCGAUGUCGGAUUAGCUAGUUGGCGGGGUAAAGGCCCACCAAGGCGACGAUCCGUAGCUGGUCUGAGAGGAUGAUCAGCCACACUGGAACUGAGACACGGUCCAGACUCCUACGGGAGGCAGCAGUGGGGAAUAUUGGACAAUGGGCGCAAGCCUGAUCCAGCCAUACCGCGUGGGUGAAGAAGGCCUUCGGGUUGUAAAGCCCUUUUGUUGGGAAAGAAAAGCAGCAGGUUAAUACCCCGCUGUUCUGACGGUACCCAAAGAAUAAGCACCGGCUAACUUCGUG
rnacentral:rRNA from 1 species